GUGCUCGCCUCAGCAGCAUAUACUAAAAUUAGAACAAUACAGAGAGGAUGAGCAUGGCCCCUACACAAGGAUGACAUGCGAAUUCGGAAGUAUUCCAUAUUUUG
ensembl:snRNA U6 U6 spliceosomal RNA